rnacentral:lncRNA from 1 species
UGGGCAUGGGGAAAAAAAGUAACCCUAGUUUAAAUGGUCUUCCCUACAGAAAAUAUAUACUGUUACUAUGUCUUUAAGAAAAAUAUAAUACUGGGGAGUCAGUUUAACUGUCAUGUAGCAACAGUUAACUGUCGUGGCCUACACUCUGUAUGAGGCAUGAAGAGAAGGUCCUUUCGUCAAGAAUGAAGUGAGUUAAUCGCCAUGGAGAAAGAGUCUGAAGAGACAUUUGAGAAGAAUGAGUUUAACUCUUAUUCUGUAGAGAAGACAUCUCGAGAAGAAGCUUAGAAGUGCCAUCCUGAGAGAGCAGAAAAUUGUUAGACUUUGGUUUCAGCACUGAGGAAGAGCCAGAAGCUGAUGAUAGGUGAUUGGCUGUGACCUUUCCCAUAAAGCAACUAGUGGUUUGACAACCAAUCCAUCCAAGAAGAACUCUAAGAGGGAUUUAGGUUGGGCCUCAAAUGAGCAAUGAUUCACCUUCAAGCUGCUUCUUCCUCUAUGGCCAGCCGCUCUACCUCUUCUGCCCCAAAACCGAGGGCACCGAAAAGGAAAGAGAAGAAAAAGCAAGACAGAAAGGAAGACAGAAGAGAUAAACCACACCAUCAUAGAGGAAUAUAUAUAUAUGAAAUUUAUAGUCUUCUUUUUGAGUGCACUCCCAACUGACAACUUUCCUUCCAGCCUUGUCUGUGCUAUCCUUUUUAAUCCACAUACUAAUUGUAAUCCCAUUAAAGCAGAUAUAAUUUUAUUAGUAUUCACAGUUCAUCAAGCUAGCAAUAAUAACUGUUACUGCCGAAUUUUUUAAACUGCAAAAAAAAUGAGUCAUGUUUAAAGCAAACUGUAAACAAAGCCCAGCCAACCUGCAUGAUCCAAGAGCUGAACCACCUGAUUACAGAUCCACAGGCAUCUCUUCCCAACAAGAGGUGACACAUCAGUAAUCUAAUUCCCUGUCUCCGACAUAUAUAGUUAGAUAAUGACAACUCCACAGCAAAACUUUCCCACCACUUUUUUCUACCUCAACAUUAUUUUUUUUAAAAAUUAAAUGUAAGUCACAGGGAGAGAAAGGAAUCUCCAACUUCACUAGUCUGGAGAUUACUUUCC